rnacentral:lncRNA from 1 species
GUGUGAGAAUUCCUGGCCAGUUGAAGGGUCAGGGCCUGUGCGUUAUCUGACUGCCAGCAAGAUCACUGGUGUGUCCUCUUAUUUUUAACUUAAAAUAGGAAAAAAAAAAGUGCAUCUUUACAUAUUAAAAAAUCUUCAGGAAUUUUACUGGGAUAAUUAUCCAAAUAAAUUGCAAGCAUUCUAUCCAAAUGGAGCUCUUUCUGAGAUGAAGAGAAUUCUCAAUGUCAAGAUUUGAACAAGAAGAGAAUGGAAUACACAAUAUGGACAUCCAUAAAAAUUCAUCAGAGAGCAUUUUACUACUGAGCUGCAAAGGGAAAAACUUAAAAUGGAUAUGAAAAGUGAAGAAAGUGAUCAUAGGAGAAAACCAUUUCAGAUCAACCACCUCAGAAGAGCCAGAUUCCACUUCUGUGGCCAGGACUUUUACAUUAUGGCUGGUCCGAUUGUUUUACCCUGCGUUCUAUGCUACUAAACCUUGGAUCAUUCCUAAAGUACAAAUUCUGUUCUCGAACCACAAACAAGGCGGGCGGAUCACCCAAGAAUGGGAUAACUGCCUGGCACUCACCAAGCUACACUUGAAGAGGAUCAAUCCAUGUCAUCAUGUCCCCAAUUUCAUAGCACCAAGUAUUUUGUUUAUUCACAAAUGCCCUAUUAUGGACAUCUAGCAAACAAUGAUACAUCAGAAAAGGAGAUGUGCAUAAAUUUUCAUGGAAUAAGGGAUGCGCAUGAAAGAAUGUGCCACAGAAAAUGAGACACAUCAAUGAGGGUUGUGGAAAAUGCACUAGAAUCAACAAACAUGGGGACUAAUUCAACUCGGAUAUCAUGUCUUCAGAGAAGUUUCUCCUGCCCUCCUCUCCCUGUAGAAUUAAGUAUUCUUCCACUGUGCCACCCUCUAACUUGUGCUCAUAUCUUCCUCUAUUGUAGUUAUGUGUUCACAUCCCUGUUGUUUUUGUACCGGCUUCUCCCAAAGGGAGACAUUUAGUCUUAUUCUUCUUGGUAACUUUAGCACAGACCUGGCAGAUUGUUGACACUCAACAAAUGUUUAUUGACUCAAAUGCAUUCAGUUGAACAUUGACCUUUGAUCAACUCUGGGAAAAGUCUGCAAAGCUAGUUAGGACAUUCAGAAAUUCAUUUCAUUUCAAUCCUAACUAAAUAAAUUAUUGAAGUCUCAGAA